rnacentral:rRNA from 1 species
UAGCGAGGUUCUAGCCGCCCGUACCCCAAACCGACUCAGGUGGUUAGGUAGAGAAUACCAAGGCGAACGAGUGAAUCGUGGUUAAGGAAUUCGGCAAAAUACCCCCGUAACUUCGGGAGAAGGGGGGCCCAGAGGGUGACGGGACUUGCUCCCCGAGCCUGAACGGCCGCAGAGACCAGGGAGAAGCGACUGUUUACUAAAAACACAGGUCCGUGCCAAGUCGCAAGACGAUGUAUACGGACUGACGCCUGCCCGGUGCUGGAACGUUAAGGGGACCGGUUAGCCUCACGGCGAAGCUGAGAACUUAAGCGCCAGUAAACGGCGGUGGUAACUAUAACCAUCCUAAGGUAGCGAAAUUCCUUGUCGGGUAAGUUCCGACCUGCACGAAUGGCGUAACGACUUCUCCACUGUCUCAACCACGAACUCGGCGAAAUUGCACUACGAGUAAAGAUGCUCGUUACGCGCAGAAGGACGGAAAGACCCCGGGACCUUUACUACAGCUUGGUAUUGGUGUUCGGUACGGCUUGUGUAGGAUAGGUGGGAGACUGUGAAGCUGACACGCCAGUGUCGGUGGAGUCAACGUUGAAAUACCACUCUGGUCGUUCUGGAUAUCUAACCUAGGUCCGUAAUCCGGAUCAGGGACAGUGCCUGGUGGGUAGUUUAACUGGGGCGGUUGCCUCCUAAAAGGUAACGGAGGCGCCCAAAGGUUCCCUCAGCCUGGUUGGCAAUCAGGUUUCGAGUGUAAGUGCACAAGGGAGCUUGACUGUGAGACUGACAAGUCGAACAGGGACGAAAGUCGGGACUAGUGAUCCGGCGGUGGCUUGUGGAAGCGCCGUCGCUCAACGGAUAAAAGGUACCCCGGGGAUAACAGGCUGAUCUUGCCCAAGAGUCCAUAUCGACGGCAUGGUUUGGCACCUCGAUGUCGGCUCGUCGCAUCCUGGGGCUGGAGUAGGUCCCAAGGGUUGGGCUGUUCGCCCAUUAAAGCGGUACGCGAGCUGGGUUUAGAACGUCGUGAGACAGUUCGGUCCCUAUCCUCUGCGCGCGCAGGAAACUUGAGAAGGGCUGUCCCUAGUACGAGAGGACCGGGAUGGACGAACCUCUGGUGUGUCAGUUGUUCUGCCAAGAGCACCGCUGAUUAGCUACGUUCGGGAGUGAUAACCGCUGAAAGCAUCUAAGCGGGAAGCAUGCUUCAAGAUGAGGUUUCCAUGGGGUUUACCCCGAGAGGCUCCCAGCUAGACUACUGGGUUGAUAGGCCGGAUGUGGAAGUGCGGUAACGCAUGGAGCUGACCGGUACUAAUAAGCCGAUAACUUGACC